UACGAAGGGGGCUAGCGUUGCUCGGAAUCACUGGGCGUAAAGGGUGCGUAGGCGGGUCUUUAAGUCAGGGGUGAAAUCCUGGAGCUCAACUCCAGAACUGCCUUUGAUACUGAGAUCUUGAGUUCGGGAGAGGUGAGUGGAACUGCGAGUGUAGAGGUGAAAUUCGUAGAUAUUCGCAAGAACACCAGUGGCGAAGGCGGCUCACUGGCCCGAUACUGACGCUGAGGCG
rnacentral:rRNA from 1 species